AUUGAACGCUGGCGGCAGGCCUAACACAUGCAAGUCGAGCGAGCGGCGGACGGGUGAGUAAUGUCUGGGAAACUGCCUGAUGGAGGGGGAUCACUACUGGAAAAGGUAGCUAAUACCGCAUACCAUCAGAUGUGCCAAGAAGGUAUUAGCUCGCAGUCGGGGUAAUUGCUCACCUAGGCGACGAGCCCUAGCUGGUCUGAGAGGAUGACCAGCCACACUGGAACGGAGACACGGUCCAGACUCCUACGUGAGGCAGCAGUGGGUAAGAUUGCACAAGGGGCGCAAGCCUGAUGCAGCCAUGCCGCGUGUGUGAAGAAGGCCUUCGGGUUGUAAAGCACUUUCAGCGGGGAGGCGUUACCCGCAGAAGAAGCACCGGCUAACUCCGUGCCAGCAGCCGCGGUAAUAC
rnacentral:rRNA from 1 species